rnacentral:rRNA from 1 species
UAAGGAAUAUUGCUCAAUGGGAGAAAUCCUGAAGCAGCAACGCCGCGUGGAGGAUGAAGGGUCUAUGACUUGUAAACUCCUGUAAAGAAGGAAAAAAUUCCCAUUUGAUGGGAGAUGAUGGUACUUCUGGAGUAAGCCCCGGCUAACUACGUGCCAGCAGCCGCGGUAAUACGUAGGGGGCAAGCGUUGUCCGGAUUUACUGGGUGUAAAGGGUGCUCAGGCGGAUUUGUAAGUCAGAGGUGAAAUCUUACAGCUUAACUGUGAAACUGCCUUUGAUACUGCAAGCCUAGAGUAUGGAAGAGAGUGAUGGAAUAUCUGGUGUAGCAGUGAAGUGCGUAGAUAUCAGAUAGAACACCAAUGGCGAAGGCAGUCACUUGGUCCAUUACUGACGCUAAAGCACGAAAGCGUGGGUAGCAAACA